ACGGAGAUGGAGUUCCUUCUGGGCAUUUCUUAGCUAGGGAGAGCGAAGUCAGCAUUUAGAAAUGCAGAAAAACAGGAGAUCACAAAGGUAGCAGGAAUCACCCCACAGGAAGGGAGGUAGGCAGAAUGGAAACACGGGGCAACCGUGAAAAUGAUCAAACCAGGGAAGAGAAAAGGAGAGAGGGAAGGCUGAUGACAGCUUACGGACGUAAAGGUUUCAUUGGCUUUAGAGCUAGAAGGGGCUUUAGAGACAGUCCCUUCAGAUUUCAAUGUGGAAGAAAUCUAGAAGUCAUCCAGUCCAUCUCCUUCACUUUACAGGUGUAGGUCUCUGCAUUACUGCUUAAGGUGAGGCAAAGUUCUGAGGACCAGAGGACUUCUCUACUACCAGGCAAAGACUGAAGGAAGAAAGAGGGAAGCCUAAUCCAGUGGUUAGCACAAUGGCUAGAACCCAAGGACCCUUGAAUCCAUUCUUCGACAUGGACUGUGGACACGUGUAUUACAACAUUGGGUUUCCAUUUCUCUCAAGCCUCGUGCUUUUCUCCCUGGAAUUGUCUCCCUCAUUCCCUACCCAAACCCAGGAUGGGACUGUUUACACCCUGAGUGGUAUAAACAGCAAGCUGAUUUCUCAGAGUGAGGACCUGGCCUGAUAUCAGCUGCUAAUUUAGCAAUUACCCUAUAGCCUUCCUAUUCCUUCCCUCAGUACUGGCUCCUUCCUCCUUCCCCAUGACCUCCUCCUACCCGGAACCCUAGGCCUAUUUCUCUGAUUCAUACUUCUUCAUCAUCUCCGUCCCCCAUCCACCAGCAACACCCUCACACACACACACACACACACACACACACACACAAACACACCUCAGGGGUUUGUGUAUCUUGUCCAGAACCUGCUUGUCAAACACAACCAUUUUCCUGGCAGCAACAGCUGCCAACCCUAAAUACCACAGUUGGGCCACAAGGUAUUUAUAGAGAAGAGAAUGCAGUGAGCCUGGAAUAUGGGAGCCUGGACAUAGGAAACAGGAGAACAGUGAGAGGCUGGUGGGGAGUGUGAGGAACUUAGGGGCAUGUGGAUGGUGGUGACUGAGAAGUCAGUGAAAGUGUAAAAGUUAAGUAGAGACGGUGUGACCAAGUCCAAUCCACUCUAUCCCCAAGGCUAUGGUAUUUUUGAAGAGAUGAGACUUUCCAAAAAGUUCAGUUA